CCUACGGGAGGCAGCAGUAGGGAAUCUUCCACAAUGGGCGAAAGCCUGAUGGAGCAACGCCGCGUGGGUGAAGAAGGUAUUCGGAUCGUAAAACCCUGUUGUUAGAGAAGAAAGUGCGUGAGAGUAACUGUUCACGUUUCGACGGUAUCUAACCAGAAAGCCACGGCUAACUACGUGGCAGCAGCCGCGGUAAUACGUAGGUGGGAAGCGUUAUCCGGAUUGAUUGGGCGUAAAGGGAGCGCAGGCGGUCUUUUAAGGCUGAUGUGAAAGCCUUCGGCCUAACCGGAGUAGUGCAUUGGAAACUGGGAGACUUGAGUUCAGAAGAGGAGAGUGGAACUCGAUGUGUAGCGGUGAAAUGCGUAGAUAUAUGGAAGAACACCAGUGGCGAAGGCGGCUCUCUGGUCUGUAACUGACGCUGAGGUUCGAAAGCGUGGGUAGCAAACAGGAUUAGAUACCCUUGUAGUC
rnacentral:rRNA from 1 species